GGCUCCAUAGUGUAGUGGUUAGCAUGUCAGCUUUACACGCAAAAAAUCCUGGGUUCAAGCCCCAGGUGGAGCCA
rnacentral:tRNA from 1 species